AUGAGGAGUGAUGAUGCUUAUCCACCUUUUCUGCAUUUGAAUGAUGAUAAAAACAUGCACUACCAUCUGACCUCAG